GGUCACGAGUACCAGCGUCAAGCCCCGGCUCGCUGGUCGGCAACCCUCCUUCCGCGGUGGGGUGCUCCGGGUGACGACCUGGCCGAGUUCCGACCGGAACCGGCAAGCGCGGAUC
rnacentral:ncRNA from 2 species